rnacentral:misc_RNA from 1 species
AAUGCUUGUUACUUCAGUCGGAAUGAACACAACAUGGGGAGAAAUGAUGAGCCAUGUCAGCCGCGACACCAGUGAACAGACACCUUUGCAGGCUAGGCUCAAUAAGCUCACCUCAUCAAUUGGCAAGGUCGGUCUGGCUGUUGCUUUCCUUGUUCUUGCAGUCCUGUUGAUUCGUUACUUCACUGGCAACACGCAAGAUGAGAAUGGAAAUAGGGAAUUUAAUGGCAGCAAGACAAAAGCAGAUGAUAUAGUGAAUGCAGUGGUGGGAAUUGUAGCAGCUGCGGUCACAAUUGUUGUAGGGGCAAUCCAGAAGGACUGCCAUUGGCUGUUACACUCACUCUAGCUUAUUCAAUGAAGAGGAUGAUGGCC